rnacentral:rRNA from 1 species
GAUGAACGCUGGCGGCGUGCCUAAUACAUGCAAGUCGAACGAACAGACGAGGAGCUUGCUCCUCUGACGUUAGCGGCGGACGGGUGAGUAACACGUGGAUAACCUACCUAUAAGACUGGGAUAACUUCGGGAAACCGGCGCUAAUACCGGAUAAUAUAUUGAACCGCAUGGUUCAAUAGUGAAAGACGGUUUUGCUGUCACUUAUAGAUGGAUCCGCGCCGCAUUAGCUAGUUGGUAAGGUAACGGCUUACCAAGGCAACGAUGCGUAGCCGACCUGAGAGGGUGAUCGCCCACACGGGAACUGAGCCGCGGUCCAUACGCCUGCGGGAGGCAGCAGUAGGGAAUCGUCCGCAAUGGUCGAGAGCCUGACGGAGCAACGCCGCGUGAGUGGUGAAGGUCUUCGGAUCGUAAAACUCUGUUAUGAGGGAAAAACAAAUGUGUAAGUAACUAUGCACGUCUUGACGGUACCUAGUCAGAAAGCCACGGCUAACUACGUG